rnacentral:rRNA from 1 species
CAACCUACGGGACGCAGCAGUGAGGAAUAUUGGUCAAUGGGCGGAAGCCUGAACCAGCCAAGUCGCGUGAGGGAAUAAGGCCCUACGGGUCGUAAACCUCUUUUGCCGGGGAGCAAGGGCCGGGACGCGUCCCGGCCCGGAGAGUACCCGGAGAAAAAGCAUCGGCUAACUCCGUGCCAGCAGCCGCGGUAAUACGGAGGAUGCGAGCGUUAUCCGGAUUUAUUGGGUUUAAAGGGUGCGCAGGCGGGCCUUUAAGCCGGCGGGGAAAUCGCGGGGCUCAACCCCGCCGCGCC